CUCGUCGAGGUGGCUGCCGGCCAUCUCGGCCGCCGCCGCGCCCCAGUUGAGCGGGUCCUCCUUGUUGAUCGGCCCGUUGCCCGCCAUUGCUACGGUGGUGGUGGUGGGCACGAGGAGAAGAGAGGAUUCGAUACUGAAGAAGAGCCGGAGGAGAAGGUAGUGAGCUCUUCUUGGAGGGAAAUGGAGGCGGAGGGGGCGCUUAAAUAGUGGCGCGGUGGACGGGGUGGGCGGGUGUAGGUAGGUAAGGCCUUUUCCUCUCUUCUCCCUCUGCCUAGUGGGUUGGUUGGUGGCUUGUAUGGUGGAUCUAUAAAAAAAAAAGAUAUAUAACUUCCAUCCUACUUUACUUUUUUGUUCCAUGGAGAAUGGUUUUUUCAUGUGCACUUGAACAUCACUACAUUAUCAUAUUUGGCCAAAAUUAAUGAAGGGCCAUAUUUGAAACACAUAAUUUCUCUUAGUUUCUAUAUGGGUCGAACUAUUUCUUGCGAUAAUAUUGCCCGUGGUCCAAACACGGAACGAUGAUUAUGACUUUCAAAAUUGAAACCGCCGUCGUGUUCACGAGUAAUCUAACCAACCUGAUGAAAAAUUUGGGACUUUUUGAAUGAAAGUGCCUCUUUUUUAGAAAAAAGAAUUUGUGGUGUGCAUUUGCCGAUGCUUUUGCUCACUUUUAAGAAUGUUUGUUUUCCAAUGGUUUUCCCUUUGUUCUAAAACUUUUCUGUUGUUGGUGAUCACGCAGUAGCCAGUAGGAAAGUGAAGGAGGGACAAAUCUCACCAACCCUGAAAAGGAAAACCAGGCUGCUCUCGAGUGGAAACCGGAGUUGUUGGCUGGACAAUUAUUGCGUGUGCAUCUCUGCCGAACAAAAAAAAAGAAGAAGAGAAAAUCAUUUGCUCUUCGCACUCAGCAGCACGCUCUGCGAUUAUUCACGUCAGUGCAAGGUCACUACACCUUAGAGAUAGAUAGAUAUGUCUCUCUUAAUAAAAAAAACAAAACAAGGAUUGAUAGAUCGAUAUAUAUCUAGAAGAUAUACCUCAACACUUCAACAGACAUUUUAGACUCAUUUGCUUGGAUAUUGUUUUCCACAUUUGCUGACUGUGUGAGCCAGCACACGGCUGGACUGUCAAAAUGGCAACCAGAAUCUCCCCCUUGUGCAAGGAUCACAAAAGAACAGAGCUCCAAAUCAUGUUAAAAGAGAUUAUAACCAGCACUCUAGCAGGUAUUGCAUUUAUGUGUACUAAUUAAGGAAAACCUUAUGUAAAAAUCCAAAUCAUAGAUUCUUAUCGGUUUUAAGUUUGUCUAUCUCGUUAAUAUUAUUUUGAUGAGAUACGGACAAAUAAUAAUUUUAAGGGGACAAUGAUAUAUAGAUAGAUGUUAUAAAAAAAUGGAGUUGACAUAUGUGCGUUUUAGGAAUUGGUAGACUACUUGUUUAGGUUGGUUCGGGGUCGUGAUACAAAGAAAACAAAAAUUUAUUUUUCUGUAGUUACAAAACAAACGAAUGUGGAGAUAAACCCAAAUCAUAGAUUCUUGUCAGUUUUAAGUUUCUCUAUACCGGUAAUAUUCUUUUGUUGAUAUACCAACAAAUAAAAACCUUGAGGGGGUCAAGCGGUACAUAAUUGUUAUAAAAGCGUAGUGACAUAUGUGUGGAUGUGUUUUAGGUAUUGGUAGACGACUUGUUUGGCUCGGUUUGGAGUUGCAACUCAAAGAAAACAAAAUUUUAUUUUUAUAGUUACAAAACAAAUGAACAUGGAGAUAAAUCCAAAUCAUAGAUUCUUGUCGGUUUCAAGUUUGUAUAUCCCGCAAUAUUCUUUUGAUGAGAUACCGACAAAUAACAACUUUAGUGGGGGCGGGGGGGUAACGGUCGAUAACUAAUAUAAAGAUGUAGCGACAUACGUGCACAUGCGCUUUAGGUAUUGGUAGACGUGCGUAUGCGUUCUACGUAUUGGUAGAUGACUUGUUUGGCUUAUUUCGGAAUCACAAUUCAAGGAAAACAACAUUUUUAGGUUUUUUUAGGUACAAAACAAACGAAUGUGGAGAUAAAUCCAAAUCAUAGAUUCUUGCCGGUUUUAAGUUUGUCUAUCCCGGUAAUAUUCCUUUGAUGAGAUACCGACAAAUAACAACUUUAAGGGGGUAGCGAUAGAUAACUGUUAUAAAGACAUAGCGACAUACAUGCACAUGCGCUCUAGGUAUUGGUAGAUGACUUGUUUGGCUCGGUUUGGAGUCACAACUCAAAGAAAACACAAAUGUAGUUUAAUUAUAAAACAAAAGGAUAUGGAUAUAAAUCUAAAGUGUAAAUUCUUGUCAGUUUGAAGCUCAUCAUUCCUGGUAAAUAUUCUUUGAUGAGAUAUCCACAAAUAACAACUUUAAAAGGUAACGAUAGACAACUAUUAUAGAAGGUAGUAACAUAUGUGCGAAUGCGUUCUAGAUUAUUGGUACACGAUUUGUUUGGCUCAGUCCAGAGUCGCGACUUAAAGAAAACAACAUUUUACUUUUAGUUACAAAACAAGCGGAUGUGGAUAUACAUCCAAACCACAUAUUCUUGUCGGUUUUAAGUAUUUUAUCCCGGUAAUAUAAGAUAACAAAUGUGUUUGUGGAAUCAGGGUUAAUAACAAAAGGCAGGGGUCAAAAAAUUAUAUACCUUGUUUCAGAGUAACCUUCUGAGCCAACUUCUUGGACAUAUAUUUUUUCCUUUUCGCAUAUUAACAUGGAAAUAUCUAUGGAGUUUUGUUAUAGAUAGACUACAAAAGUAAGGAUAUCUGCGAUAUAUAAUGCAUUGAUGACAGCUAACCAAGAUAGACAUGGGCAUGCCUUAUACUCCCUCCGUACUCAUAAAGGAAGUCGUUUAGGAUAAUGUUUAAGUCAAACAUUGGGAAUAUAAAUCAUAAAUAACUCUCAAGUUGUUGAGUUUGAAACUAUAAAAAUUAUAUGAAUAUAUUUGUCUUGAAAAAUACUUUCAUAAAAGUAUACAUAUAUUACUUUUCAAUAAAUAUUUUUAUAGAAACAAGAAGUUAAAGUUGUGUUUUGAAAACCGUGUCGCUAUCCAAAAUGACUUUCUUUACGAGUACGUAGGGAGUACCCUCGUUAGCUUCAAAUUUUAAAAGAUAUAUAAGAGGCACCUAGGUCAAAUACAUUUAUUUGGAGACAAAGUGAUAUGCAACCGCAGCCCUUCAUAUCUAGCACUACCAGUAUCAUUAAUCAACAGUGGGAAAAAAAACAAAAAUUGAAUGCAGUGCUAAUAGUAGUGCUAGGGGGGACAACAUAGAAUUGGUCAUGGUUGCGAUGGUGCAGUAGAUAACAAGACGAUCAAAUUUGAUUAUAAUUUUAUCAUGGUCUUUCCUGCUUCUUGUUUUCUUUAAUAUAAGUCAGUUAUAAAUUAAAAUGACAUAUGGUGUUUUUUUUUCCAGAAAAGUAGUACUAGGUGGAACAAAAAUCAAAAGAUGAAAUAUCUUCCAUGCCUAUUCCUAUUAAUGAAGUUUAGUGAGAUGCAUGCCUCCAAUUAAUUGUUGGUGUGACAGGUUGAAAGUGAUUCUCUUCUCCCACAGGAUUCCCCUUUUAAUUAAACCUGGUUCAGAGAAGUUCAUCGUGAUUAUAUUGAUAUGGAAAAAGUACGCCGAAGACCUCUCAACUUGUCAUCGGGGUUUCCCAGACUGCCGGGGCCGGGGUUACCGCGCCCCGGCAGUAAGCACGGUUACCGCGCGGUAACCGCACCGCGGUAACCGUGAAAAACCGUACAAAACCGUGCAAAAUUUAUCAAAAAUUCAAAUUAUUUUUUAAAUUUAUUUGAAUUUAAGGAGGUUACCGCGGUAUUUAUAUUACCGUACCCCCGCGGUAAGCCCGGUAACCGCGCGGUUACCAGCGGUAAGUCGAACCCUGCUUGUCAUCGAGUUACAAAAUUGUUCCCUAACCGCAAAACCAGAUAUAUGACACCCCUCAACUCACAAAACCGUACACUUUAAGUCCUUCGGUUGUUUUGACCCCAGUUUUAUCCGAUGUGGCUGCUGAGUCAGCAUGGGACCACAUGGACCCCACAUGUCAGUGUAUCCACGUCAGCACCCUCUCUCUUGCCCCUCUUCUCUCUCUUCCUCCUCUCUCACAUUCUUCUCGUUUGGAUAGGCCAGUCGACAGGUGGAGAGGAGGUUGGCAGUGUGAGGCAGGAGAGAAGGAGGGCAUCGGCGGCCGGCGACAGGCGACGUGGCGGUGGCAGCAACAACAAGGGAGAAGGGGAGGCGGUGGUUGCAGAGGCCGCAGGCGUGGAGGAGGGCGUUGGUGGUCGACGACGGGCGAAGCAGGAGAAGGGGAGGCAGCGGCGCACGAAUUCACGCCGCGGUUGCAUCUCCUCCGCCGCCGCACCACACUGCGGCAGGGUCGAGCGAGCCAUGGAACAUUGGCAUCAAGGUGGAGCAGCUAGGUACGGCCGGCAGCCAGUGGGGGAGCAGCUGGGCGCGGGCGACGGGCGUAGGCGGCGGGGGGAGGAGCUGCGCAUGGGCGGUGGCUGGCGGGGAAGCAGCUGGCCACCCCACUUCCAUCUCUGGCACGAGCCGCUUGAAUGCCUCCGUGUGGUGCUCGUCGUUGUCACCGGCGAGGCGACGCAUAUCCAUGACACUGGCUGAGUCGUCGUACUCGGCCUCGAUGAACAUGACACCUAGGGAGAUGGCCGCAACAGAGUAGUCGAUGACGACAUUGUCGUGGGAGGGGCGUUUGAGCUUCUUCCCCGACGCCUGCCUCCCGCACGCAGCUCCUCCCCCGCCGCCCACGCGUAGCUCCUCCCCCCGUCGCCCAUGAAUUCAUGCUCAUGGGCCCGCUUCUCCUCCGCCGCCGCCUCGUGGGCCUCGUCCCCUCCCUCCUCGCGGCGCACCCGUUCGUCUCGCACGACGUCAGCGUCGCUGCCAUUACCGCCGCCACGUCACUGCCAUUACCGCUGCCGCGUCGCCCGUCGCCGGGCACCGACGCCCUCCUCCUCUCCCGCCUCAUCCCGCUAGCCAGCCUCGCAGAGAAGUGAGAGAGAGAGAGGAGGAAGGGAGAGAAGAGGGGAAAGAGAGGAGGUGUUGACGUGGACACGCUGACAUGUGGGGCCCACGCUGACUCAACCACCACGUCGAACAACGAUCAAAACCGCUGAAGGACCUAAAGUGAAUGGUUUUGUAAGUUGGGGGAUGUUAUAUAUCUGGUUUUGCGGUUGAGGGACGAUUUUGUAACUCGAUGACAAAUUGAGGGACCUUCGGUGUACUUUUUCCUAUUGAUAUUCCGGACCAACAAAAAAGAUCUGGCCCGAUCCAUUGCCUCAUCCCAAUCGGCCCAAGCUUCGUCGGCCUAGGGUUACCUACAUCAGAAAUAAGAAAAUGGAAGCAUUUUAGAGGGUGGAUCAUGCGACUAACAAGUAACAACCAUGCCGAAUUGCUGUACUGGCUGUCUGAAGCUAAGCCCGUAUACGAACACCAACACAAGGCCAGCCAAACAAUUGAAUGCACUAUUCAGCGGACAAUAGGAGUAUAUUAUUAGUGUAUUGCUCAGUUGAAGACUUGUAGCCUCAUCUUUUGCACUGCAAGAAGUACUCGUGUUACUCAUGGCUAAAAACUCUUCACGUCAGUUUGUCUGCAGCACGUGCGUGUGUGCAGGUUUAUCUCAGUUCCUCACAGGAUUACGGCGAUGACGACGAGAGGCCUUUCUCUUCUCUGACCGUCUUUCGAUCGCAUCCAUCUGCAUUCGUGCAGAGUAGUAGUCGGCUGCCGCUUCUGUUCCAGGCCGAGAUAAAGUGACAAAAACCACGGCCUGCAAAUUCAACAUCUGAGACACUACCUACCAAAAAGCCGAAAUGGUACUAGCUAGUUAUGACUUGGUUGCAUGGAUUGCUGGUAGAGGUUUGGUUGAACACUACUACUACAACCUCUAGAUGGAUGUCUUUUUUCUUUUUUCUCACCUAGUAUCUCAGCUGAACCUAAUGAUCGAUGUGUUGUCCAUAUCCAUUAAUCCAUAUGCAGCUCUGAACUGUACUCCUCUGAAGCAGACAGGUAGUUGAACUGGCUGUACGUUUCUUUUGCGAUCAGAUACAUGACAAGGAGCAUGCUUCUCGGUUUAGCUUACGCAUCUGCAGAAGCCAACGCCGAAUGAUGGUUUGUGAGCAGUGAACGACUACGAAGGCGAAAGUACUAUUGUGUGAUUGUGAAGCGGUAUAUUAGUCUUGUAUCUCUGACUCUGUCAUUAUUCGAGUUUUACUCAACUGACAUAAGUUUCGGUCCUUUUUUUAAAAGAAAAAUAAUGGAUAGAAAUCUGGCCUCUAUAUGCACAAGUGGAUAUACACAGCAAAUGAUUGAGUUACAGUCUCUGCCCCUCUUUAAAAUGCUACGACCUAUACUCUUUCUUUUUGCAAACAUCUCUUUCUUGAACUCUGAUCAUGAAGAAAAACAGAGUUUUCUUGUUUUAAAUAGAGCUAAAACUGAACAUCUUUGGUUGGUAGGAGUAUUUUUCUGCUGCUUUUUUUUCUCUUGUGUAGUUUAGUUCUAUCCAUAAAAGCAUUUGGCUAGGCGGCAGGAGCAACGAGAAAUCUAGUAGCAGCAUGUUACGAACAGAUAGCUGAAGCAAGCUCUGGAUCUGGUCCUUCAAUCUCGCAUCUACUUGCAGUUAGGAAUUCAAUUGAAGCUUGCGGCUACAUCACGCCAUGUGCAGAUGUGGCCUCUAAUGAUCAACUUAACUGUUCGUCUAUUGGGUGCCCCUGCAGUAAUCAUGCGCUUGUAUAUAAAAGGUCCUGUACUGUGGAGAAAAUUAGUGAAUAGUGCGGACAAGUCUCCCAGGAAUCUUGCAUCUUUGCAUUUGCAGCUGCAAGCAAGGGUGUCAACCUCGUUGCACUGACACAAUUAGCUGUCAUAAAUGGGGGAGUUUCUAUCGGUGAGAAGGAUCGCUCAUGCCCCCAUGGCUGUACAUCAAGGUUGGAGGAGCAAACGAACAAGGCACGUUGACGUCUGAACUAGAAUCAUUUUUGAAGUCUUGGGCCGUCUUUAGUCCCUGUCUAAUUUUUUUUAAAGUAUACGGACACACAUUUAAAAUAUUAAACGUAGUCUAAUAAUAAAACAAAUUAUAGAUUCCACUUGUAAACUGCGAGACAAAUUUAUUAAGCCUAAUUAAUCCGUCAUUAGUAAAUGUUUACCGUAGCACCACAUUAUUAAAUCAUGGUGUAAUUAGGCUCAAAAGAUUCGUCUCUUAAUUUACAUGCAAACUGUGCAAUUGGUUUUUUUUCGUCCAUAUUUAAUGCUUCAUGCAUAUGUCCAAAUAUUUAUUUUUUUAAAAAAAAAUUAAAAACAUAAGUCACGAAUAAAAUAUUAUUCAUGUUUUUUUAAAAAAAAUUCAAAUAAGACGAACGGUCAAAAUUGGACGCGGAAAACCAUGGCUGCACUUAUUUUGGGACGGAGGAAGUAGUAUUUCUCGUUAUGAUCUCCACUGCUGGUGGACAGUAGAGCAAAACUGAUCAACAAAGAAAAAAACAUCUAGGUUGUGUUUAGUUCACACUAAAACUAAAAUUAAAAGUUUGGUUGAAAUUGGAACGAUGUGAUGGAAAAGUUGGAAGUUUGUGUAUGUAGAAAAGUUUUGAUGUGAUGGAAAAUUUGGAAGUUUGAAGAAUUAUUUUAUAACUAAACAGGGCGCUACUCUUGUAUGCAUCACAAACUGAGUAGCUAGUACAAGGCUGUGUUCAGUUCCUUUUAAAGUUGAAAGUUUAGGUUGAAAUUGGUACGAUGUGACUGAAAAGUUAUAUGUGUAUGACAUGUUAAUGUGAUGGAAAAAGUUGAAAGUUUGAAUCCAAAGUUUGGAUCUAAACAUAGCCCAAAGUACAUCCAAUUUCAACAGAGUUGGGAGUUUGGACCAUGAAUCCAGGCGUAGUACCACUGCUUAUUGAGAAACACACGCUUCCAUGAUACCGACCACAUUUUCUCGUGGUAGGUACGAAUAACAAAUUGUAACAGCCAUCCUCGCGAGCUGACCACCAUGAUUAUAUAGCGAUUGGCCACCUGCAAAAGUUAGUCUGACUUGAACAUGGCCGCGUGUCUCCUGCAUUUUCGUGAUCUUGUACAGUUGUAAGUACCAUCAGAAAUAGAUACUGCUACAAAUCAGCAUUUUCGAGAAUAGUGUGUGUGGGCGCGCGCUUGACAAGACGAAAUGGAUGUGAAGAACUUCUUCAGAGAACGAGCAGCAGCUGUAAAACAAAAUAAUUUACUUUAGUCCCCCAACUUAUACAAAUUUACAGCACCAAAAGUUUCAGAAAGCUGCGUGCCAGGCCAUGCGGAACUGCAGGUUAUGGCAACCGCAGAAGCUGAAACAGCAACAGUAACAUCAAGUUAACUACAAAGAACCGUAAAAUAGUAUCAUCACCAUGUUCAUCUAGACAUAGUAGAAAACAUUCACACUCUCGAAAUGCUCUCUAUCUUUCAGUUUUGUGUUGCUAUACGUCUUCUUGUUUUGCAUUUUUUUUAGUAUUCCAUUUCUGUUCAGCAGAGUGGCAGUGGCGCGCCAUUCCAUUCCUUGAGGCAUUCGAGCAGCGGGUCGAUGUGCUUGCGCUCGUUGAUGGCGACGAGCACCUUGUUCAGCUCCUCGCCGGGCGACCGCGUCUUCUCGCCGGUGAGGUACUCGGUGCCGACCUCCUCGCGCACGAACCGGUAGAGCGGGUACGAGCGGCACUCCUUGAUCCGGUUGGGGACGAGCGGGGUGCCGUUCUCGACGGCGGCGCGGGCGGCCUCCACCUCCUUGGGCAGCGCGGCGCGGACGUGCUGCUCGAACUCGGCCACCUUGGCGAAGAUGGAGGUCUCCAGGACGCGCUCGGCGUCGCCGUUGGCGAGCGCGUGCUCGAUGAGCACCGCGCGGAGCUUCUGCAUCAACGGGUAGUUGGCGCUGCAGGGGUCGUCGGCGUAGGCGAACACGGCCUCGCGGUCGAUCGCGGUGAGCAGGUCCUUCUCGCAGAAGCGAGCGAUGUGGAGGCCGCCCAUGUGGUUCAUGCUCAGGGAUUUCUUGGCCACCUGCAUCACGCAGUUCUUCACCGCGGUCUUCAUGUUCUCCUCGAGGUGGCGCAGGUCGAUGGCUUGGCACAGGGCGAUCAAGAACGUGGAGGACAUGAGCUUCAGGAUGUCGAUGGCCUCGGCGGUCUUCCUGGAGGAGAUGAGACCAAGCGAGUUCACGUCCUGGUUGUGCUGCUCCGCGCUCUGGACAUGGUUGGUCACCGGGUUGCCCAAGAACUGGAGCUCGGAGCAGUACGACGCCAUGGCGAUCUCCGCGCCCUUGAACCCAUAGUCCAAGCUGGGGUUGCGUCCACCGGACAGGUUGGAAGGAAGCCCGUUGUUGUAGAAGUCGUUCACGAGCUCAGAGAACUGCGCGAACAUGAGCUUGCCGAUGGCAGCGAGGGCGAGGCGGGUGUUGUCCAUGGACACGCCGAUGGGCGUGCCCUGGAAGUUGCCACCGUGAAGCGCCUUGCCACGGGAGACAUCGAUCAGCGGGUUGUCGUUGACGGAGUUGAUCUCGCGCUCGAUCGACUUGGUGGCGAAGCGGAUGACCUCGAUCUGUGGGCCGAGCCACUGCGGCGACGUGCGGAGCGCGUACCUGUCCUGCUUCGGCUUCAUCAACGGGUCGAGCUCGCCGAGCUUCUUCGCCAGCUUCAUGUACGAGCUGCCUUCCAAGAUGUGCUCCAUGAUGGCGGCAGCCUCGAUCUGUCCAGGGUGGUGCUUCAGCUUGUGUGUCAGGUGGUCGGUGUACUCCGGCUUGCCGGUCAUGACCUCACAGAACACGGCGGACAGGACCUCGGCGAGGAUGGCAAGGACGUUGGCCUCAAAGAGCACGGUCGAUGCAAGGCCAGAGCCGACGGCAGUGCCGUUCACCAUGGCAAGACCUUCCUUAGGCUGCAACUCGAAGAAGCCGUGCUCAAUGCCGGCAAUCUUGAAUGCCUCGGCGGCGGUCACCUUGCGGCCAUCCGGGGCGACGGCCACGGAGUUCUGGCGGCCGGUGAUGAGGCCGGCAAUGUAGGACAGUGGGACCAAGUCACCGGAGGCGGUGAUGGUGCCCCGGAGCGGCAGGCACGGCGUGACGUUGGCAUUGAGCAGCUUGGUGAUGGCCUCGAGGAUCUCGAAGCGGAUGCCGGAGUAACCCUGGAGGAGGGUGUUGAUGCGGACGAGCAUCGCCGCGCGCGUCGCCUCCGCCGGCAGAACGUGGCCGUCGGUGCCGGUGCCGAAGGCGCCGGCAUUGAGGAAUCUGUUAAAACAGAGCGAUAGACAUGUCAAUUUCAGUUCAGAGCUCACUAAAAAAAAACAUAUAACACGUUCAGAAAAACUUGGUCAGAUAUAUGAUUGCGUAUUCUCUUUCCGUAUUUUCCUUCGGUGUACAUACACACUGCCGCCGUGCCGACUGAUGAUUAAUUUAGAGUUUCAUAAUUGCUUAAUUAAUUAUGCUCCCCAUGAUAAGGAGAGCAAACAAGUCAGAUGCGCGUAGUUGUGCAGCUGUGCAGAACUGUCGGUCACCGCCAUGUGGUAAAAGUCAAAUAAGUACCAAUAUUGUUCUACAUCACGUUUAAAUAACGAAAAACAAAGUGUUUUGGACCUUAUCUCGGAUACGAAUACUACAACUACUCGUCCACAACUCCACAUGUUCAGGGUAUUUUGACUAUUUCCCCUUCAAUUUUAUUUGCAUACUGUCCGUUUAAUAAUUGGACGCUCCCAAACCAGUCGAUGAUAAAACAGGAAAGGAAAACCAGAGCCGUGAAUUUGUCUGUCUCCCUGCGAGGACAGGGGAUGUGUCACCAAACCUCAGCUCGCUUUCGCCGUAACGUGGCCGUGGGAAAAUCCCCCGAAGGCAGGCCAGCCCACUGCCCACGUCGUCUCCAUGUGAAGUUUUCUGCGCUGCCGAACGCUUUGUCCGGCGCCCCGCGUGCAUGGCGUGAGUCGCGACGCGACGGCGCCAUCGCGCCAACCCGUCGGCCGAACCGAGCAAACGCACGCAGUUGGUGUUAUUACUACUCGCGUUGAUAUGAUAGCCCAGCAGCUGCCUACCCUUGGCCCCGGAUGGCCGGAUACCCUCCUCGAGAUCCCGAAUUCUCGCUCGGCGACAGAAUUAUCUCAUGGAUAAACAUAUUAUCAAAUGUCCCGAAAAAGAAAAGAGAGAAAAAGGUUGCUUCCUUUCUCCUUCUCCUCUCCUCAGACGAAAGACGCAAAAAGGAGUUCUAGCGACGCGCCAACGGACACAUAAUCGUCGUCUUGUGUUUUCACUUUCUUUUUAGUUAACACGAGUCGUGUUCGUGUGGUGCAAAUUAAAGGUGUAACAGUGCAGGACGGUUACUACUAGUAGCCGGUUCAGAUGUGGCAUGAACUGAGCAAGAGGUACAGUACAUCUGCGUGUUUGGAUGGUGGCGAGAAGUAAUAAAUAUGGUGAUGAUUUUACCCAAAUACUACAGCUGGAUGGAUCAUAAUAGUGUAAUAAUGGCGAAGGAUAUACUCCAGUACUAGUAUUGGCUGGCUGACACCCCGAAAGAAUCCUUUUUGGCUCCGAGAAUGACGGUAUCUCGUGGGCACACACACAACUAUGCAGCGAGAGCACAUGCAAGCGCAUCUAGUUCGCCCCACAAGUUCUGAGAGAUUAAAUAAACUAAUAUGGUGAUCCUCAAUCUCGUCGUAAUCAUAGAAUCGAACUGCUGAUGUAAAGACUGAUGAACAAUGGAAGUGAAACAAAAUAAAGGAUCGAGCUUGCGAUCGAUUUGUCACCUGAUGAGCUCCCUCUGGAGCGCGCCGCCCUCCUUGGUGCGGCGGUGGGAGGUGGCGCCGAAGCCGGUGGUGACGCCGUAGCUGUCGGUGCCGUUCAUCAUGCUGUUCAUGACCCAGUCGCUGCUGGCCUUGACGCGGCCGCGGGCGGACUCGUCGAGCUCCACCCUGGCGUCGCCGGCGCCGGCGGCCACGGCGGCCACCUGCGCGAUCGUCAGGCUGGCGCCCUCGAUCUUCACCAGCGGCUGGCGGAAGUCCUCCACCAUCCGCUUCACCUCGUCGAGGUGGCUCCCCGCCAGCUCGUCCGCCGCCUUCCCCCAGUUCAGUGGGUCGGCCCGCGGCGGCGCCGACACCGACGACAUGCACAGCCCGUCGCCGUUCAGGGAACGAACAAGCCCGGUUUCGCACUCCAUUACAGAUGUGUACAGUCACACAGACUCACAGAUGCAGUAGUAGCACACGAAUAGAAGUACAAGAACACUAGAACAGUACUACUAGAUAUGCGUGUUUUUUUUCUUUUAAGUAGAAGAAGAGCUCGAGUUGGAAGCUGAUGCUCUUCUUGGAGAAGAACGGUGGGGGAACGGGCGCUUAAAUAGCGUGGCGACGGGUGAUGGUGGUUGGGGCUAAGGGCGUCCAGGGCAGUGUGGGGUUUGGUUGUUGGCUAGCUGACCAUACGCUCGCCGUCGGAUGGGGCCUGCCUACCAAUCUUACCAUGCGGCGAUGCGCGACGCGUGGCCCACCUGGCCAGCUCGCGUGGCUGCUCUGCCUGCAGGAUUGUGAUUGGGGCGAGGCGCCGAGCCGGGGGAACCGGUUGGUUCGGCGGCGGCGCUUGCGUUGCGUGUUGCCUCGGUGGUGCGUAGCUGUGUGGGGUGGGUGGCUGGAGACUUGCGCGGCCGGGGGAUUUGGCGGGGGUUGGUGGGACGGAGAGAGCGAGCGAGAGCGCGUGUGUGGACGGGAGGCCUCUGCUGAGCCAACGCUGACGGUCUCUCGCGGUCAGUCGGUCCGUCGGUCCGUCGGUCGCUCGAUCCGGUAUCGUCCUGUUUUUACACAUGCACCCACUCCGAGAUCCGAGACGCUGCAGGAGUGCAGGACUGACCCAAGUGGUCAUCAGGACAACACGAUGAAAUGACGUGAUCGGUUCAUUAUUCGGAGCGCGAAUUGCUGCAGAGCGAAGGGUGUGUAUACGAGCUAUUUAUUAAGCCUAAUUAAUUUAUCAUUAGUAAAUGUUUACUGUAACAUCAUAUUGUUAAAUUAUGGCGUAAUUAGACUCAAUAGAUUCGUCUCGCAAUUUACAUAUAAACUGUAUAAUUGGUUUUUUUCCACAUUUAAUGUCUCAUGCAUAUAUUCAAAUAUUUGAUGUGACUUUUUGGCUAAUUUUUUUUUAUCUAAACAAGACCGUUCAGAAACUACAGUCACCUUUUGGCUGUGCGAGAUGUGGAGGAAUUGCCUCAACAGGGCCAUUUUGGCCAACAGCACUACAGCAGCAGCAGAAAAUGGGCUUAAAGCUUGUAGUACGUCCACACGGAGGCAUUUUGGCCAACAGCUUAUGCAGCUAUAAAAUUUAAAUUUAAAAUUUUAAUUGUAGAGUUGAUUUAGGGCUUUUCUUCGUAGUUUUUUUAGCAUUGAUUUUUAAUCGCUAAAUAUACAUAUAAAAAAUUAUCUAUGAAUUUUCUUUUAUGAUAAGUCAUUUUCAGCGUUAAGCCAAGCGAUGUGUUUGCAACUCUCUCUCUCUCUCUUUUGGUACAGACGCGUUGAGCUCAAGUUGCCGCAUUUGAUUCUGUACCAACAGAGAACUUCCAAGGAAAGCAAGUUGAAGCCUUCAGAGUUCAGACAAAAUGAAGCAAAUUGUUUAGUUUUUUUCCUCGUGUAUUAUGCAGUUAAGCAGGCGCUAUGUUGCGCGUAAAGAACCUGGUAUAAACAAUGAUUUACUCCCACAUUGUCCCGAAGAGUAGCACGAGCACAGUUGAACCAUGAAGAUUCCACGUUUCUUACUUUAAGAACCAGGAAAUAUUAAAGAGCCGGUUCAAUGGGAGGCAGGUACAGCAAUGCAUCGUCCAUGUGAUUAUUUUUUGUCCAUUUAAAAGGGCUGUCUUAAUAUUUUUAUCCACACUUUUUGCGUGUGGUUGGUAACAACGAACUCAUGGUGACCAACUCAGCUUGAUGGCCAGGUCGAUCUACUCCGUUGUGGUUGGCAACUAAGCUCGCACCAAACAGGGUGUUGGGUAUCCGGGCCCUCCCGUAAGUUCAUUCAGACAACGUCAUUCGUAUAUCUCCUCCACCAACCUCCUACUACUUGCGUUCUUCAUAUAGGAGCUGCGAAAAUGUUGCUGCUUCAACGUUCUUCAGAUAAGCAACCUUUUUUUUUUUUAAGAUAAUGAGAUAAGCAACCAUGAGUGACUUCAUUGACUUCAAGAUGGAUGGUUGGCUUGGUGUUUCAAAGGUCCGAGGUUUGUUGAAAAUUUAGGGUGAGUUCGAUAAAGGGAGUACGUACUAAAUCCAUUAAAAAACUUAUUUUAUUUGGAACUAAUACCUUACAUUGAUCAAUUUGGCAUGGUCAAAAUGAUAUAGUUUUCAAUAACAAGAAAUUGUCUAACCACAUGCAGGUUAUCUUCACGUCUUCCAGUUGACUCUAUUAUUAAUCCUUGAUGCUUUCAUAGGAGAAGUGGGAGACUGUACGUAAUGAAACUACACUCUUAGAAUCGGUAGCCACGAGUCUUUUGUCCUACUUUGGUUGGUGUAAUUUUUUUUAGAAUAUUGUUAUAGGUUCUAUGUGUUUUCUAACUGAUAUUUUGUUUUUAGAAAGAAGAUGAGGUUUGUGUCCCAUAACCUUAAGCUUUUUUAUCUUUUUUUUUUUCUUGACUCAUUAGCCGUGCGCAUAUUGGCAGAAACCGGAGAUGUAAAUCAUUUUCAUUAUGUAAAAAAAAUACUUAGUUGUACGUAAAAUGAGAUGAGUAAUUAGUGUAUACUACCUCCAUACCAAAAUAAGUUUAUUUUUCACCCAUCUAACACAUACCAAUAAAAAGUAAAAAAAAAUUAGAAUACCCAUACUUUAUCAAAUCCCAAUACAACUAAUCCUCACUGUAUCUAAUCCCAAUACAAUUACUCCCUCCGGUUUCAUUUUAAUUGACGUUUUGGACAAUGAUACGGUCUACGAGAUAUAUCUUUGACCUUAUUUUUUUUAUUAUAAUAUAUAUAAUAAAUAAAUGCAUGUUUACUUUUAUUAUAGUGCUUUAAAAGAAAAAUCUAUAUAUGUUGUUCUAAUUCCUUUAAACUAAAUAUUUAUAAAGUUAUUGAUGGUCAAAGUUAUAAAAGUUUGACCUCAACCUUGUUCAAAAUGUCAAUUAAUAUGGAACCGGAGGAAGUAUUCCAUACUUUCACAAACUCCAAUGCAAUGAUUACUCUAAAAAUAAACUUAGUUUGGGACAAAUGGAAGGUGCUAAAAAUGAACUUAAUAUGGGACGGAAGAAGUAACUAAUUAGGUAUUAAAUACUACUAAUUUGAAAAUUGAUUUUUUUUAAAAAAAAUUCUCCAUGGAAAGUUUUUAUACCAAACACAUCGGUUACCCGUUCGGAAAACAUGUUCACAUAAAACGAGAUAGUAGCUCUGCUUAGAAGCCCUCUCGAACGCAUCCUUAGACCAGGAGUAUGCUUCUAUAAGGCCAUAGGAACGAUCUACUAUAUUUGAUCGAGGGGAUUGUUUGUUUCUGGUUCCAUCAGCAGAUUACAUAAAUACACACACUCAAUACACCAAAAUAAUAAAAACAAGAAAGAGUAAAAUACACAACCAAUUCUUAAACUUGAACCAUAGUGUUAUCCAGUACCGUGAGCUUGUAAAAUGCACAUCUAAGUCCAUAUACUCUUAUUUUAAUGUAUCACCCAAGAUCUAAAGUGCAAAUUACCAGGACGCUAACAUGGCCGUCCACGAUAAUGAGAAUUUUGCAUUUUAGAGGAAUCAAGAAGUACCAGAGGUCAGAAAGAAAUUAUCCUAGUACCAUUUUUUAGAAGUUGUGUUUUUAAAUACACUACCGGAGCAUUUGAAACAGGAAAAAAUGUUUACUAGUCCAAACACAAAAAGAAUCGUAAAUUAUACUUCAAAACUUACAAAACAAUUACUUUAGCCGCUUGCCAGGUUAUUCCCUACCAGGUUGUGGUAUUGCAGGUGUACAUUGAAGAAUCCUUAACACAACAAAUGUAUAAAAAAAGUUUGAUCAGCUACUUGUACUGGUAUAAUCCACACUACUCGAAACAAACCACCACCUCUGUACUCAUCUCAUCAUCUCCUGUGAGGUUCUGAUACAGGGGUUUAGCAGAUGGGCAGGGGCGCGCCGUUCCACUCCUUGAGACACUCAAGCAGCGGAUCAAUGUGCUUGCCUUGGUUGAUGGCGACGAGCACCUUGUUCAGCUCCUCGCCGGGCGACCGCGUCUUCUCGCCGGUGAGGUACGCGGUUCCGAGCUCCUCGCGCACAAACCGGUACAGUGGGUAGGAGCGGCACUCGGUGAUUCUGUUGGGCGUUGCCGCCGUGCCGUUCUCCACAGCUGCCCGUGCGGCCAACACCGCCGCUGGCAGCGCCGCGCGGAGCUCCUCCUCGAACUGGGCGACCUUGGCGAACACCGAGGUCUCGGCGUUGAACUCGGCCGCGCCGUUGGCGAGGGCGCGCUCCACAAGCACGUUCCGGAGCUUCUUCAUCAGCGGGUAGUUGGCGCUGCACGGGUCGUCGGCGUACGCGAACACGGCUUCGCGGUCGAUCUCCUGGAGAAGAUCCUUCUCGCAGAAGCGAGCGGCGUGGAGACCGCCGGUGGCGCUCGUGCUCAGAGUCUUCCUGGCCACUGUCAUGACGCAGCUCUUGACGGCGCUCUUGACGUUCUCCUCGAUUUGCCGCAGGUCGAUGGCCUGGCACAGGGCGACCAAGAACGUGGAGGACAUGAGCUUCAGGAUUUCGACGGCCUCGGCUGUCUUCCUGGAGGAGAUGAGGCCGAGGGAGUUGACGUCCUGGUUGUGCUGCUCCGCGCUCUGGACGUGGUUGGUCACUGGGUUGCCCAAGAACUGCAACUCGGAGCAGUACGAAGCCAUGGCGAUCUCGGCGCCCUUGAAGCCGUAAUCCAAGCUCGGGUUGCGCCCGCCGGACAGGUUGGAGGGAAGGCCGUUGUUGUAGUAGUCGUUCACAAGCUCUGAGAACUGCGCGAACAUGAGCUUGCCGAUGGCAGCAAUUGCGAGGCGAGUGUUGUCCAUGGACACACCGAUGGGAGUGCCCUGGAAGUUACCACCAUGAAGCGCCUUGUCGCGGGAGACAUCAAUGAGUGGGUUGUCAUUGACAGAGUUGAUCUCGCGCUCAAUGGACUUGGUGGCCGCACGAAUAACUUCGAUCUGAGGGCCAAGCCAUUGCGGCGACGUGCGGAGCGCGUACCGGUCUUGCUUCGGCUUCAUCAACGGGUCGAGCUCACCGAGCUUCUUCGCCAGCUUCAUGUACGAGCUGCCUUCCAAGAUGUGCUCCAUGAUGGCAGCAGCCUCGAUCUGUCCAGGGUGGUGCUUCAGCUUGUGUGUCAGGUGGUCGGUGUACUCCGGCUUGCCGUUCAUCACCUCGCAGAACACGGCGGACAGGACCUCGGCAAGGACAGCAAGAAUGUUCGCCUCAAAGAGCACCGUGGAGGCAAGUCCAGAGCCGACGGCAGUGCCAUUCACCAUGGCGAGACCUUCCUUGGGCUGCAACUCGAAGAAGCCACCUUGGAUGCCAGCAAUCUUAAACGCCUCAGCGGCGUUCACCUUGCUGCCAUCAGGAGCGACCGCGACAGAGUUCUCGCGGCCGGUGACCAAGCCGGCAAUGUAGGAGAGCGGGACCAGGUCGCCGGACGCGGUAACCGUGCCCCUGAGUGGCAGGCAUGGCGUGACGUUGGCAUUGAGCAGCUUGGUAAUCGCCUCGAGGAUCUCGAAGCGGAUGCCUGAGUAGCCCUGGAGGAGAGUGUUGAUGCGGACGAGCAUCGCCGCGCGCGUGGCCUCGGCGGACAGGACGUGGCCGUCCGUGCCCGUGCCGAAGGCGCCGGCAUUGAGGAACCUGAUGAGCUCUCUUUGCAGGGCACCACCUUCCUUGGUCCUCCUGUGGGACGUGGCGCCGAAGCCGGUGGUGACACCGUAGCUGUCCGUGCCGUUCAUCAUGCUGUUCAUCACCCAGUCGCUGCUGGCCUUGACGCGCUCGCGGGCCGACUCGUCGAGCUCGACCCUGGCCUCGCCGGCCGCGGCCACCGCGGCGACCUGCGCGAUCCUCAGGCUGGCGCCCUCGAUCUUUACCAGCGGCUGGCGGUACUCGGCCACCAUGCGCUUCACCUCGUCGAGGUGGCUCCCCGACAUCUCCUCCGCCGCCUUCCCCCAGUUCAGCGGGUCGGCGCGGGGCGCCGCCAUGCAGAGGCCGUUGAUGCCAUCGGCAGCAACCUGACCGUUCUCGCACGCCAUUGCAGUUAGCUAGACGGCCGGAGAGAACUGAUGAUUGUGCUAAAUGAGCAGGAGGAUACUAGAGAGAUUGAUCAGAGGAGUAUGCAGGCAGCGGUGUGUUCAGAGCUGUGGAGAAGAGCUAACUGGGAUGUGUGGCUCUUCCUGGAGAGAAAUGGAGGGAGUGGAAGGGUUUAUAUUAGGCUUGGAGAUAUGAUACGAGUGGCUUGGUCAGAUUGGUUCCUGGUCCAAGGCGACGAAACGGCUGGGUCUCCUCAUCAGUCCGACGAAGCUGAGUGUGGUGUUAGUUGGGGGUAAGAACGAACAAACAACAUGUGUGAAUCGUUCGAUGGAAUGAGUAUAUUUUUGAGGAGGGUCAGGUGUGGACGUCGAAAUUUCGUGGUCGUCUUUGGGGACGCGGGCUCGGUCGCAGACUCGCACGGGGUCCGUGGUUGCCUGGUUGGUGCGCGCCAUGCGGUUGGUGAAAGCCUGAAAGGCAGAAGGCGCAAUGCGCGCGCAUGCUUUGCCUCGGCUCGGCUGACCGUGCUUGCACAGUUGCUCGCUUUUCACUUCGUUGUUCCCAGUUCCCACGUGAGGCCAUUCACAGUACAAGCACCUCAUUUGCGUUACCUCAGUAUGCCACGUAGGAUAGAUACACAACGAAUUCAUACCUCUCACAGUGCAGGGUACAACAGGGGAUCCCCAAACCAACCACCCCAACCUAUUCUCUCUCCCACUUUCCCCUUUCUCUCCUUUUCCCUUUCCCUCUCCUACUUUCACUCCCACCGACCCGACAGAGCCGGAGCGCGCGGCGGUACUGGUCGCCGUUGCCCACCGUGUAACAUCCCGGCCUAGGGCUUAAUAGGAUUAAUAGAAUACUCAUAUCAACAAGUUGCAACUUCUUUUCCGGAAGCCAAUCUCCAAAUAACUCCAGAGUUAAGCGUGCUUGGCCUGGAGCAAUUUGGGAUGGGUGACCGAUCGGGAAAUUCUUUCCGGGUGCACACGAGUGAGGACAAAGUGUGCAGAAAAGAUAUGUGUUGGUCUGUGAGGGCAGUCUAUGACCUAUGAAAGCUAUCAGAUGUAAGCGGGCCCGGCCUGGGGGAAGGCGGGACGUUACAAAUUGGUAUCAGAGCCGACUCUCGCGGUUUCACGGGCGCGUGUGUCGCAGUUGCGCAGGCAUGGUGCGCAUGGCUGGUGUAGACCGGGAGUGGUUACACAGCAUGGCACAUGUGCUGGCACUGGACACAUGGACGUGGCCAAGAGAGGACGUUCCUGGCCUAGGGUUGAUCGACGGGGGCGUCGAUCUCUCUUAAGGGGGUGAGGGUGUAACAUCCUGGCCUAGGGCUUAAUAGGAUUAAUAGAAUACUCAUAUCAACAAGUUGCAACUUCUUUUUCGGAAGCCAAUCUCCAAAGAACUCCAGAGUUAAGCGUGCCUAGGGCUUAAUAGGAUUAAUAGAAUACUCAUAUCAACAAGUUGCAACUUCUUUUUCGGAAGCCAAUCUCCAAAGAACUCCAGAGUUAAGCGUGCUUGGCCUGGAGCAAUUUGGGAUGGGUGACCGAUCGGGAAAUUCUUCCCGGGUGCACACGAGUGAGGACAAAGUAUGCAGAAAAGAUAUGUGUUGGUCUAUGAGGGCAGUCUAUGACCUAUGAAAGCUAUCAGAUGUAAGCGGACCCGGCCUGGGGGAAGGCGGGACGUUACACACCGUCCCCGCGAAUCUCUCGGCGGCGACGAGAAGGCGGAGCGAGGAGGACGGCGGCGGCGCGAAUCUGGAGCGGCGGCAGCGCGAGAGGACAACGGCGGCGGGCGGAUUCUGGAGUGGAGCGGCUCGUGCUCGUCGUCGCCGUCCUCGGAGCGGUCAUGGCGGGCGGCGGCGGCGGCACAUCCUUGCCCCGCUCUCCUCACCGACGGUGCUCUCCUCACCGCCUGCCCCAACGCCGCGGUGGCGGCAUCCUCGGGACCUAGCGGUGCGGAUCUGGAGCGUCCUCGCCGUCCUCCUCAACGACGGCGGCGGCGGCGCGUCCUCGCCCGCCCUCACCGGCGACGGUGGCGCGGAUUGGAGCUGGAGCCGGAGUCGUCGGAGUGGAAGGAGUUUCUGCUCGGGAAUCAAGGUCGGCCUCCUGCACAGCGCGUUCUCGUCCUCGCAUCUCUCAUCGGUGGGCCCCGCGCUCGACUUUUUGAGCGAGGCUCUCGUUCCUUCGCUAGGAACCGAAGAAGCUAGUGAAGCUAUGGGCCCCACCAACUUUUUUCACCACGUAGGACGAAGUAAGGCUCCAGCUAGACGAAGGAACGCCCACUGUGAAGGGCCUGAUGCUGAGAUGGAAUGAGCCUGUGAAGGGCCUGAUGCUGAGAUGGAAUGAGCCGCUGAAAGGGUAGUGCUUCACUCACUGCUUGUGUUAUCUUUCAGCACAUUAAUUAAAGAGCACUGCGAACACAGUUUAAUUCUAGUUGAUUUGUACCGGUCUUUGUUUGGAAUGAAUUUUCCCACUAUCUUCAUCAGGCAGUUUUGUUUCUGUUAUGGUAUCCUACGUUUCUUCUGGCCGUUUUCAGUGUGGCUGGAUUUUUUAUAUAAAAAAUAAAUUUAGAUAACCUUAUAUUUUGGAGUUUUUUUUAGGGUCCAAUAGUACCGAGCGGUACCAGGGCGGUACCAAAUGCUAGUCAUUGGAUCUGUCACGAUCCAAUGGCUGGUGUUGCGUGGUACCGUGAGGUACCAAAAAUGUCCCUCAGGCGGUACCGCAUGGAGAAGAUGAUUGGUAGGGUAAAAGAGUAACUUUGUAUGCCAGAUGGUUCAGGACGGAUGGAUCGGGAAGUAUUCCUCUGCCGCCACCGGCGUUUUCGUCUGCCGACGCGGCCGUGUUAUUCCUCCGGCGCCGCGACUUCGUUUUGGGCCCUCUCGCCGAAGCAAUAUCGAUUGCGGCGCGCAUGGUUCUCCCCUCUCUUCUCCAGCGCUGCGAAGACGCCGCGCCGCCUGUCUGCAACGAUGGACAACGCGAAGGACACGGGGUUAGGGUUUCGCGGUGAAGGCGGAGGAGUCGUCGCAGUCUGGCUCACGCGUAGAUUGGAGGCGCACGCACGGCUGCGGAAGAAUACCGAGCUCGCGAUUUUUUCUCUCCCGAUCCUACCCAUGCGAAAUUCAACGGUGAUAUGCGUACUGGCGGUACCAGUACCGUGCGGUACAUGUUGCUGGACCACAAAGACGCUCUAUAUUUUGAGAUCAAAUUGGGUUCAAACCAUUGAUAUUAUGGUUUGCGCUACACAACAAUAUUUUGUAUGCUCUAGAAGUUUCACAAAACCCGCCUUAUUCAAAUAUUAACUUGGUUUUCCAUCUUUGGCAUAGUAUUGUUUAAAAUAUCAAAACAAUUAACUUAUCAUCUUCACCAAGCAAUCAACAUAUCAACAAUAUAUAAAAUUUGUAUGGAAUAAAAAUAAAGCAAACGUAUCUGCACAUUUUACCCUAUAUUAUUUAGAUUUUAAAUUAAUAUGAUGUUUUGAUCAAUAUUAAGACCAUAACCUAGCAUUUUGUCAUAGGCUAUAAGGUUGGGUGAUUUUUUAAAUAACAAAAAUGAUAAAACUACAAUUAUUUUGAAGAAACUACAGUUAGUAUUCCCUCCGUUUCACAAUGUAAGACUUUCUAGCAUUGCCUACAUUCAUAUAGGUGCUAAUGAAUUUAAACAUUAUCUAUUAUAUAAUUAAAGGAAUAGAAAAAGGAGCCUCCACGUUCGCUCUCAUGGCCUAUAAAUUCUCACAUUAAUAAGGAAAAAAAGAAAAAACAGAGUCCAUAUAGAAAUACAAUUAGGAAUAACUGAAAUUCGGAAUUAAAAAUAAGCAAUAUUAGAAUAGAGUAAAGAGUCCAUAUAGAAAUACAAUUAGGAAAUAACUGAAAUUCGGAAUUAAAAAUAAGGAAUAUUAGAAAUAGAGUAUAGAGUCCAUAUAGAAAUAUAAUAAGGAAAUAACUGAAAUUCGGAAUUAAAAAAUAAAGAAUAAUAGAAGAGGAUACUAGAGUCCAUACAGAAAUACAAUUAGGAAAUAACUGAAAUUCGGAAUUAAAAAUAAGCAAUAUUAAAAGUAGAGUAAAGAGUCCAUAUAGAAAUACAAUUAGGAAAUAACUGAAAUUCAGAAUUAAAAAUAAGGAAUAUUAGAAAUAGAGUACAGAGUCCAUAUAGAAAUGCAAUUAGGAAAUAACUGAAAUUCGGAAUUAAAAAUAAGGAAUAUAAGAAGUAGAGUAUAGAGUUGUAACGCUCCGCUUUUCGUGAGACGUUAAAAACUAAUUCGGCAAAAUCCUAAUUGCGAAAAUUUCGUUCUUUGAGUGUUGAGUCUAAGCUGUGCCAAAGAUCUCAAUCUAAAUCCCUCCCUUGUCUCGAUACCCUGUUAUCAAAGAUCGUCUCCUCAAAAUUUCCAUCCCAAUAUAGUCCCGAAGCUCGAUUUCUUCUAUUCGGAAUCCCCUCCUGGAACCCCAUCCGUGAACUUUGUCGAAUGCCCGAAACCUAACUCCGUCCAAGGAUUCACCUUCGCGUCAUAAGCUCUCUCCUUGGUUCCUUCAAACCGAUUCUCAAAUUCGAUUUCAACCUCUCAGGUUUUGAUUCAUCUAUCUUCUCCAUGUAUUGGUUCAUCAAUCUACCCUUGUCUUCUUUCUCGAACUUCUGACCCAAGUCUGAAUAUGCAAAUCGAGAUCACUUCCACCCUUGAACUCAAAAUCCCAAGAUUCAAUCCCUUUCGCCCUGAGUUCUCCCCAAAAUGAUUUUCGUUCCGAAAUAGUCUCGAAGUCCGAACCCUUCUAUUUGGGCUUCUCUCCAAAAUCCAUACCCACAUAUCUCGUUGAGUAGUCAAACUCAAACUCCCAAGUUACACUCUCUUUCUCUAAAUUAUCCAUCCCCUGUUGACUCGUCUCCGAAUAUUGUUCCCUUCCUCGACUCCUUCCUAUUCUCCCGAGACCGAGUAUCAACCUCGAAAUUCGAAUCCAGACUCUAACCCUAAAACCUCCCAAUUAAAUCUCUCUGUGAAAGUCUAUUGAACCUCCCUCAUAGGUUGGAUUCCUUCAUCCUUUUUCCGGUCCACCUCUUCCUUCUCUUCCAUCCCAUCUCUCUCUGAGUCUCGAUCUAUCUAUCUAUCGAUCGAUCCAUCUAUCUAUCUACUAUACCUAUCUAUCUGUUUAUCUAUCCAUCUGUCAAUCCAUCUGUCUACCCGUCCCUCUACCUAUCAACCUACCUUUCUGUCUAUCUAUCUAACCAUGGCAUUCUACCGCUAUCUCCCUUGUUCCAUUUUUGAAUAAUGAUCUUUCCUUUUUGAAAUCCUCUGAAAUAAUCCUUCGUGCCGCCAAAUAUAAAUCCAUCCCAAAAAUACCAAAAUUCCUGCUUUUGAAGCCCUUCCUUGACCCCCUCCCUUGGAUCCACCUUGAACCCUCGCGUACAAAUAUACAAAUUGAAUUCAAAUUCAAUCUCCACAUCAAACUUCUCUCCAAAUCAAACCUUCCGGUAAAAGUCUAUUUUACCUCCCUCGUGAUGAUUUGGGCCGAAACCUGCCGCUGGCCCAUCUCUUCUCAGCUCCCUCCAUCUCCACGUGCGCCGCACGUGACCACCGAGAGAGAGAGAGAGAGAGAGAGAGAGAGCUCUCUCUCUCUCCCUUCCCUCUCUCGGACGUUCUCUCGCUCCCUCGUCCUCUUCCUCUCUCUCGCUGCCUCUCUCUCUCGUUCGAUCUCUCUCUCCCACGCAAGCGCUGCCGCCAUCGCCGAUUUCCCGCUGCCGCCUUUCGAUUUUCGGCUGUGCCGCUCGUCCCCGCGCGCGCGCGCACACUCGUGACCGACCACCCGGUCGCCGCCGACGCCAUGCGCUGCCGCCUUGCCCCCGCUCCAUGCCAAACCGACCGCCGCCGUCAUAGUCGACGUCAUCCAUGGCCCCCGCCACGCCGCACCCGUCCAAGAGUGGGAGAAGCAGCUGCUCUCCCUCUCCUCCUCCUCCUCACUCUCCCUCUCCUCUUUAUGGCAAGGGACCAAGCCCCUUUCCCCCCUUCUUUUUCCUUUUCCCCGACCACCGCCGGUGUCACCACCUCUGAGCCGCUUGACCGCUCGCGCCACCUGCCUCAUCUCCUUGACCGCCCCAAGGUCGGUUCUCUCAAACCGACAUCGCCACCUACAAGACCCACACCCCCUCCCAUACCUCCCGCUUCCUCUCCUCCAUCACACCACUGCCGCCUCGCCGUUCGUCGUCGUUCUCGCCCUCCUCUGCCGUCGUGUGUGUCGGAGAGCUAGCGAGCACGAGGAGUCGACAAGGAGCUCCGCGCCGCCCCAUCCUCGCACCUCUCCAUCUCUUCUUCCCCGACCGCGCCUUCUCGGUGCCGCGCCGCCCCGCCGACGCGUCCGCCUCGCUGCGACUCCAUCCGCGCCGCCGACACCGUUUCUCUCGUCGGUGAGCUCCCCACUGAACCCCUUUUCCCUUGUCGCACGCCGCGCCGCGCCCGCCGCCGUUCGUCACAUCUCGCCGCGCGCCCUUGCUCUAUCCUGGGCGUCGCUCGCCGUCGAUCGCCGUCGCCGGCCUCUCUCGGCGUCGCCCGUGCCCUCUCGGCCGGUGGAAUGAGCUCGCGACCUCGCGUAGAUGCUCCAGCUCCAACGAAUCGAACCCCCGUUGCCCCGGUGAAGUUUUCCCCCUUUGCUCGCCGCCGACGAUCGCCGUCGAAAUCCGCCGCCGUCGGCUCCCCUCUUGUCAAUCCCUCUCGCCACCACGCUCUCGGGGAUCCCCUUGAUCUCCCCCUUGCUGUCCCAAGGCCGUCGGCCUUCUCCUUUCUCUCCGCGCCAUGUCGCCGCUUCCGCCGCCGCCUAACGCCGCCGUGCGUGCGCCGCCGGUGACCAUCGGGUCCCGCGUCACCACGUGCGCGUCGCAACACCAUACCGGUUCGGCUAAGCCCGAGCCCGCGCACCCUUCGCUCUUCUCGCGCGCGGCCACGUCGGCGUGCCGUCGUACCUCCCCUCUCAAAUCCGUGCCGUUAAACGGAUCCCCCCUGACCUCCUCUAGCCGCCGGUGCUGGCCGCUCGCUCCGGUUCGCCACCGCUCGCCGGAACGCCUCGCGUGUCGUUGGCCGUCCGAUCCCGGGCGCCUCCUCCUCCUCCUCCUCCCCUUUCGCCCCUGCCCGCGUGGCCGGCCACGUGGCAGCCACCUCAGCCCCGGGCCCGCUUGACUGGGUCAAGUCGCGCCCAGUCAGCCUCCUCCCUCCGUCCUCCCUCCCGUGCGCGCGGUCCACGGCAAACCGUGCGGCUGCACGUGGGCCCACCGCCAUCCGUCCACCCGGCGCGCAGCGCCCGAACCGCGCGCAUCCAAAACCCUAGCGCCCGCCCCCGCGUGCGCCCCCCCACCGUGAACCCAACCACCGCCAUGUGGGUCCCGCGCGGUGGACCGCGUCCACCCGCGUCGGCCUCUCUCUCCCCGCGCCCCUAAUGGGCCGACCACCCGCGCCCGCGCCGGCCCAAUGGCCUGACCGCGCUGCGCAUGACCCUUGGGCCGAGCCUAAGCCGCCCGAGUAAGUCUAAAUCACAUCCCUCCUUCAAUUUCUUUCCAAAAAGGGUUUAAUAAAUUAUUAAAUCCUUUUUCCUUUGAUUAGUAAAUCCAAUAAACUUCGAAAAUCCAUAUAUUCCAAACCGCUCAUCCGAUUGACUCCGUUCCACUUCCAGUAAUUCUGUAAAAUUGAGAUCUAUUUAAUGGCACUACUAAUUAGUUUAAAUAGGAUCUUUCUUUUGGUCCUUUGUUUAGGUUUUCGAUUGUUUGCGUAUAGUUGCGGUUAUCGGAUUUUCGUCGAUCGCGGGUUUCCUCGAAGAUUCGUGAAGCUUCGUGAAGACCUUGAGCAAGGCAAGUCACCCUUUGAUCAAUUGCCCCUAUAAUUGAAAAGUCAUUAUUAUUUUGUUUGCAACUUGCAUUAGUAGAAUCACACACUUAACUUGCUUGGCCUCGGUUUGCGUGCCAAACCGACGGACCUACCCAGUAGUCGCUCUAAUUUCCGUAGGUCGUAAUACCCUGUUUCCUUGUCGCUCCACCCUUGUGGUACCUCGGUAUUCGUGCUCUUUGAGCGCGUAUACCAAAUAUCCCACAUACACCGUUGUUUGUCGAAAACUUGGGAAAUGGGUUUGUGAAGCCUUCAAAACCCGACAUGUGGUGUCGGUGUGUUUGAAAAUAAAAUGAUUUGUGAAAACUCGCGAUGCGGGGGUUGUGCCUAUGUGGCACUGUCCCGUAUUCGCAUAUAAGGACCGAUUCCUGUGGGAAACUCAUCGAACAUAAUCAAAGUGCAACCACAAGGUGGAAUGGGACACCCUGGCUAAGUAACUAGUCGGUUCAGGGAAACCUCGCAUGCCAAUAGUUGGGAACGCCGGGGCGGGGUCGGACAAACCGGGUUCCUGGUAAGGCAAGGACGAGAAGCUUGCUCACUUACCGAUCAAGGUGGUUGGAGUUUGAUUUGUGAACGCCUAAAAUGGCCUAUGUUUAUGUGAGGAUUUGAUCCUUCUAUGUGGCAUGAGGUAACCCUGGGUCGGCUUGGGAAAGGCUUUGUUGCGAACCUCCGAUACCGACGGGUGAUCGGAAUAAGUUCGUAUCUUGUGGGUAAAGUGUACCCCUCUGCAGAGGUUAACUAACUGUUCGAACAGCCGUGCCCACGGUCAUGGGCGGAUGUGAGGUGGUUCCCAUUGCGUAGAUUUGUUUGCCUGUGCUUUGUGAAAAGUUGUUUAGGUGUGGGAAUCGUAACCAGAAUCAGCCUAUGUGGCAGAUGGAUGACCUGAGUGGUCAAGAAACGAAUCUGUGUGAUUCGGGAUGUCUGCGGACAUCAUAGACUAGGCUUCCCGAGUGGAAGCGGAUUGUUGUGCUGCUAGGCAGCUGGACUCUGGGAGUCCGAGAAAAUGAAAAAAACUCUGGGAGCCGAUUAAUCAAGUGGAAUGACUCUGGGAGCCGAGAAGUAAUGAUCUGACCCGGGAGGUCGGUACAUUACUAAAUGAGCUGUUGAAAAAAACAUCUCUUAAAGUCGAAUCGAGAUGCAAGUCUCUUUUCGGCCCAAACUUAGAAAGAAAUAAAUCACUUAGUGAUUUUAAAAUGUCUUCAAAUAAAAGAUUUGCAAAACAACCUUGCCUCUCUUCCAAGCUUGCAUUAAACACCUAAGUUCCCGUGACUUGCUGAGUACGAAAGUACUCACCCUUGCUCUAUAUAAAUAUAUACAUAUAGUUCCUCCGCCCUGAAGAGAUGAUGAAGUGAAGUGAAGAUUAGGGUUUCGUCCUGGUUCCUAGCCGUCGCCUGUGGUGUUGGGUGUUAGACCGUUGGUUCCGCUGCUGCUGCUGCUGCUGCUGCUGGUGUUUCCUCGUCCGCGUCGUCGGUUGUAUUCUCGGGCUGUCUGAGCUGCAACCUAAGUUGAGGUAAAUAAGUCCUCUAUUUAUUUUAAGGGUUGCUAUGAUUCAUAUUUGUCACCGUGGGUACCAGCACUAUGUCCUGGGACUGGUACCGAGAUCGCGGUUUCGUAGGAAGCGGUUCGCGCCGUUUUCCCUACGACACGCUCCUGUCAGGUGCCGUUGUACGGCGGUAUCAGAUUGGGGUGUGACAAGAGUCCAUAUAGGAAUUUAAAACUUACUAAAAUUUAGAUAAACAUAAUAAAAUUAAAAGUAGAGUUUAGAGUCUGUAUAAAAAUACAAUUUACAAAUAACUAAAAUUUGAAAUUAAGAAAAACAUGGGAAGAAGAGUUUAAGGUCAAUAUAGAAUAUAAAUAUAGUAAUACAAUUUAGAAGUAAAUGAAAUUCGAAAUUAAAAAUUAAAGAAUAUUGAAAGAUGAGUUUAGAGUCCACAUAGAAAUAAAAUUAGAAAUAAUAAAAAUUCAGAAAUAAAAAUAAAUAAUAUUGGAAGAAGAGCAUAGAGUCUAUAUAGAAAUAGAAUUUACAGAAAAUUCGGAAUUAAAAAAUAGAAAUAUUAAAAGACGAGUCUAGAGUCCAUAUAGGAAUAUAUAUAAUUUACAAAUAACUAAAAUUUGAUAUUAAAAAUAAUUAAUAACUAGCACGCAUAUAAAAUAUAAUAUGAAUAUUACACAUUGUAGUUUUGUAAAGUUAUUGUAAAAUUUAAAAUUAUGUUGUCAUUUUAAUAUAUUUGAAUAAUAUAAUGAGAAAACAUAAAUGCUAUUAUAUGAGAUAAAAUAUAAAGAUGCUAGCCGCGCAAUCUGCGUGGGCCACCAUGCUAAUUAUAUAUUUAUAUAGAUUUAUUAGCAUCUAUAUGAAUGUGGGCAAUGCUAGAAAGUCUUACAUCGUGAAACGUAGGAAGUACAUUUUAGUACGCCACAUUGACUGCAAUAUAGACUCAUCAGCAUAAAGUCAUAUUGGCAUGUCAGACAGAUCACAACCGUCAAAGCGUGUUUUUAUCCCUAGAUGGGAUAUCCUAUCAUUUUUUGCAUGUCACCUAAAUAGUCAUAAAAAAAUAAAAAAAAAUUGAUACAAAAUAUAUCACUCCACAUACAUAUAAAUUGAAAAUCAACUUCUACAAAUUAUAACAAAAAUAAGUGUGAAUAUACGUUAACAUGUCAGUUUAAUUUUUUUUAACUUGUAAAAGUUGAAUUUAACCGUGCAUAUUUAUGGAGUAAUAUUUCAUAUUAAACUAUAUUGUUAUUUUCUUUCAAAUUUCUUGAUGACCAUUUAAGUGACAUAAAAAAAAUGAGUGGAUGUUCCCUUGUGGGAUGAAAAUCCCCACUAAAGGUAUAUAAAAGAAACAAGUCGAAUGGGGAUGGAUUCUAAACUAUCGAGGGGACAUCUCAUUGUUAUUUGUAUGUCAUCCAAAUGGUUGUGAAAACAAAUUAAUAAGUUCAAUAUGAAAGAUUAAUAUGUGAUAGAUCACUGUGCAAACAUAAAAGUUAAAAUUCAACGUCUACAAGUUAAAAAAAACUAUGACUAAUUAACAUAUAUCCAUAGUUAAAUUUGUUUUUUUUUCGUUGUAACAUGUAGAAGUUAAAUUUGACAUUGCAUGCCUGUGCAGUGAUUUAUCACGUAUUAAUAUAUCAUGUUAAUUUUUCUCAUAACUAUUUAAAUGACAUGUAAAGGGGUGUCGUUUGAGAGUUUAGAAUAGUUUUACAAGUCAAAUCUCUGAACUGUUAUUAUUUAGUCACUACAAUUAUUUUCUUUUCAAUAAAAGAAAAUUUCUUUUUGAAGCCAUAUUUAUGCACAUUUUACCCAAUCAGUAUGGAUUACAUUGUGCGCAGAUAGGUCAAACUCGGAGUAAACAAACAACUAAAAGGAAAAUAAGAACUCUGCCAUGAAAAUUAAUGAUUUGCAACACUCUGAUAUCCAAAACUUAUAUGUUACAACACUAGUUGCUUUUGAAACCUGCCACUCGUACCAAGUUUUGCUGUUGCAUGCUUGCCGCUAUGCAACGAAGAAUUCUUUUGAGUAACACAAAGAUAAGUGUAAAAAUAAAAUAUUCACCAGAUAAAAACAACACCGCACGCCUCCACACUCCACUGUUAUUCAGCUAAUCGGUUCACUAGUUCAGCAGAUUGGCAGGGGCUCGCCGUUCCACUCCUUGAGGCACUCGAGCAACGGGUCGAUGUGCUUGCCUUCGUUGAUAGCCACAAGAACCUUGUUCAGCUCCUCGCCAGGCGAUCGUGUCUUCUCGCCGGUCAGGUACUUUGUUCCGAGCUCCUCGCGCACGAACCGGUAGAGCGGAUACGACCUGCACUCGGUGAUUCUGCUGGGAAUCGCCGCCGUGCCGUUCUCCACAGCCGCACGUGCGGCCUCGAUCGCACCUGGCAGAGUCGCGCGCAGCUCCUCCUCGAACUGCGCGACCUUGGCGAACACCGAGGUGUCGGCGUUGAACUCGGCCGCGCCGUUGGCGAGGGCGCGCUCCACGAGCACGUUGCGCAGCUUCUUCAUCAGCGGGUAGUUGUGGCUGCACGGGUCGUCCGCGUACGCGAACACCGCCUCGCGGUCGAUCUCCUUGAGCAGGUCCUUCUCGCAGAAGCGUGCGACGUGGAGAUCGCCGGUGGAGUUGGUGCUGAGUGUCUUCUUGGCCACCGUCAUGACGCAGCUCUUGACGGCGCUCUUGACGUUCUCCUCGAUGUGCCGCAGGUCGACGGCCUGGCAGAGGGCGAUCAAGAACGUGGAGGACAUGAGCUUCAGGAUGUCGAUUGCCUCGUCGGUCUUCCUGGAGGAGAUGAGUCCAAGAGAGUUGACGUCCUGGUUGUGCUGCUCGGCGCUCUGGACGUGGUUGGUCACUGGGUUGCCCAAGAACUGCAGCUCGGAGCAGUAGGAGGCCAUGGCGAUCUCGGCGCCCUUGAACCCGUAGUCCAAGCUCGGGUUGCGACCGCCAGACAGGUUGGAUGGCAGGCCGUUGUUGUAGAAGUCGUUCACGAGCUCCGAGAACUGCGCGAACAUGAGCUUGCCGAUGGCAGCGAUGGCGAGGCGGGUGUUGUCCAUGGACACGCCGAUGGGCGUGCCCUGGAAGUUGCCACCGUGCAGCGCCUUGCCGCGGGAG
rnacentral:lncRNA from 1 species